rnacentral:rRNA from 1 species
AAGCAUAUCAAUAAGCGGAGGAAAAGAAACCAACAGGGAUUGCCCCAGUAACGGCGAGUGAAGCGGCAACAGCUCAAAUUUGAAAUCUGGCCCCCCCCCGCGGGGGCCCGAGUUGUACUUUGGAGAGGAUGCUUUGGGCGCGGCGCCGGCCGAGUUCCCUGGAACGGGACGCCAGAGAGGGUGAGAGCCCCGUACGGCCGGACGCCCAGCCCGUGCAAAGCUCCUUCGACGAGUCGAGUAGUUUGGGAAUGCUGCUCAAAACGGGAGGUAAAUUUCUUCUAAAGCUAAAUACCGGCCAGAGACCGAUAGCGCACAAGUAGAGUGAUCGAAAGAUGAAAAGCACUUUGAAAAGAGGGUUAAACAGCACGUGAAAUUGUUGAAAGGGAAGCGCCUGGGGCCAGACGUGCGCCCCGCGGACCACCCGGCGCCCCGCGCGCCGGGGCACGCCGCGGGCGCGCAGGCCAGCAUCGGCUCCCCGCCAGGGGGACAAGGGCCGCGGGAACGUAGCUCCUCCGGGAGCGUUAUAGCCCGCGGCGCCAUGCCCCUGGGGGGGCCGAGGACCGCGCUCCCCGCGAGCAAGGAUGCUGGCGU